rnacentral:rRNA from 1 species
UACGGAGGGUGCGAGCGUUGUCCGGAAUCAUUGGGCGUAAAGGGCGCGUAGGUGGCGCGGUAAGCGUGCGGUGAAAGCCUGGGGCUCAACCCCGGGUCGGCCGUGCGAACUGCUGGGCUUGAGCACUGUAGAGGCAGGCGGAAUUCCGGGUGUAGCGGUGGAAUGCGUAGAGAUCCGGAAGAACACCGGUGGCGAAGGCGGCCUGCUGGGCAGUUGCUGACACUGAGGCGCGACAGCGUGGGGGAGCAAACAGG